rnacentral:misc_RNA from 1 species
ACAAACUUGGUCAUUUAGAGGAAGUAAAAGUCGUAACAAGGUUUCCGUAGGUGAACCUGCGGAAGGAUCAUUACAAAGCAUGGCGAACCUCGUGUUUCGCGAGGUUUUUGCGUCCAUUUUUCGUAUUUAAAACAUCCACUCUUUUAAAAAUUUAUCUAAUGAUAAAAUAAAAAAGAUCACUUUCAACAACGGAUCUCUUGGCUCUCAGAGACAGACAAACUUGGUCAUUUAGAGGAAGUAAAAGUCGUAACAAGGUUUCCGUAGGUGAACCUGCGGAAGGAUCAUUACAAAGCAUGGCGAACCUCGUGUUUCGCGAGGUUUUUGCGUCCAUUUUUCGUAUUUAAAACAUCCACUCUUUUAAAAAUUUAUCUAAUGAUAAAAUAAAAAAGAUCACUUUCAACAACGGAUCUCUUGGCUCUCGCAUCGAUGAAGAACGCAGC